rnacentral:snRNA from 1 species
AAUACGCGACGGGGUAUUG